AUAUAAGGAUGAAACCUGAAUUCACUCGUUGCAAAGGGGAUCAUUUUUAGAUGAAGCCUUUUGCAAUGUGUGAAUUUUAUUUAUUUUACGGUGAAUAAGAAGCGCAUGUUAACAAUCCCACUUUAUGGAGGUUUUCUCAAAUGCAAAACGGUACUGUGAAAUGGUUCAACGCUGAAAAAGGUUUCGGUUUCAUCGAGGUUGAAGGCGGCAGCGACGUAUUCGUACAUUUCUCCGCAAUCACCGGCGACGGUUUCAAGACCUUGGACGAAGGCCAACGCGUACAAUUCAACGUUGUUGAAGGCAACCGCGGCCCGCAAGCUGAAAACGUUGUAAAGCUGUAACUCCUAGCAGAACGACUGCCCCUAACUUGGUUAGGGGCAGUUUU
rnacentral:other from 1 species